GAUGAACGCUAGCGGCAGGCCUAACACAUGCAAGUCGAGGGGUAGAAGGAGCUUGCUCCUUUGAGACCGGCGCACGGGUGCGUAACGCGUAUGCAAUCUACCUUGUACAGGGGAAUAGCCCAGAGAAAUUUGGAUUAAUGCCCCAUAGUAUAUAACCUUCGCAUGUUGGUUAUAUUAAAGUUCCAACGGUACAAGAUGAGCAUGCGUCCCAUUAGUUAGUUGGUAAGGUAACGGCUUACCAAGACGAUGAUGGGUAGGGGUCCUGAGAGGGAGAUCCCCCACACUGGUACUGAGACACGGACCAGACUCCUACGGGAGGCAGCAGUGAGGAAUAUUGGUCAAUGGUCGAAAGACUGAACCAGCCAUGCCGCGUGCAGGAAGACGGUCCUAUGGAUUGUAAACUGCUUUUAUACAGGAAGAAACCCUCCCACGUGUGGGAGCUUGACGGUACUGUAGGAAUAAGGAUCGGCUAACUCCGUG
rnacentral:rRNA from 1 species